rnacentral:rRNA from 1 species
GACAGAGGUCUCGAGCGUUAGGCGGAAUCACUGGGCUUAAAGCGUGUGUAGGCGGAUUGGUAAGUACCUUGUGAAAUCCCACGGCUUAACCGUGGAACUGCUUGGUAUACUGCUUAUCUUGGGCCACUUAGGGGCUACCGGAACAAACGGUGGAGCGGUGAAAUGCGUAGAUAUCGUUUGGAACGCCAAUGGUGAAAACAGGUAGCUGGGAGUGUGCCGACGCUGAGACACGAAAGCCAGGGGAGCGAACAGG